GGGCCCGUGCACCCCCGGAGGCGGCAGCGGCGAUAAACCUGCCAGUAAUUUCAGCAAAUGAAACGUGGAACACGUCAAGGCCAGAGGAUGGAAAAGGCUCCAGUUUUGAUAAAAGGAGGCCUGCUUGGCUUGGAAUCCUCUCUCCUGCUGGUUGGGAGAUGCAAAGAUGUUUCCAGAGAGGGGCUGAUGAAUUGAGGGGAAAGAAAUGAGCCCAGUAUGAGUCCCCUUUCAGGGCUGAGCGUGUAUAAAACCAAACAACUUGGAACCGCUCCAAGAGAGGGGAUUAAAGCAACAUGUUAUUCUGAGUGAUUGCUUAAUUUAUUGAGCUGCGGCUGGAUCUGUAAUGAAAUACAGCCCUUGUAACUGAUAACCUCCUGCUGCCAUUGAACUUCUACAAUUAAGGAAUAUUUUCUGAGUUUCUCUGGAACGGCUCUGAAUUUUUAGCCUCUGUGGUAGGGUGCUUCUGAACAUUUGUUUUCCAGGCAAUUUUUUUUGAGUAUUAGGCUGAUGUUAAUAAAUAAGCAGCAUUUUAUUGAG
rnacentral:lncRNA from 1 species